GAAUUCGCCCUUAGAGUUUGAUCCUGGCUCAGGACGAACGCUGGCGGCGUGCCUAACACAUGCAAGUCGAACGGGGCAGUUCCUUCGGGGACUGCUUAGUGGCGAACGGGUGAGUAACGCGUGAGAAACCUGCCUUUCAGUGGGGGACAACAGUUGGAAACGACUGCUAAUACCGCAUAAUGCUAUCGGACCGCAUGAUCUGAUAGCCAAAGAUUUAUUGCUGAAAGAUGGUCUCGCGUCUGAUUAGCUAGUUGGCGGGGUAACGGCCCACCAAGGCGACGAUCAGUAGCCGGUCUGAGAGGAUGAACGGCCACAUUGGGACUGAGAUACGGCCCAGACUCCUACGGGAGGCAGCAGUGGGGAAUAUUGGGCAAUGGGCGAAAGCCUGACCCAGCAACGCCGCGUGAGGGAAGAAGGCCUUCGGGUUGUAAACCUCUUUUACCAGGGACGAACGAAAUGACGGUACCUGGAGAAAAAGCAACGGCUAACUACGUGCCAGCAGCCGCGGUAAUACGUAGGUUGCAAGCGUUGUCCGGAUUUACUGGGUGUAAAGGGCGUGUAGGCGGAGCUGCAAGUCAGAUGUGAAAUCCCGGGGCUCAACCCCGGAAACUGCAUUUGAAACUGUAGCCCUUGAGUAUCGGAGAGGCAAGCGGAAUUCCUAGUGUAGCGGUGAAAUGCGUAGAUAUUAGGAGGAACACCAGUGGCGAAGGCGGCUUGCUGGACGACAACUGACGCUGAGGCGCGAAAGCGCGGGUAUCAAACAGGAUUAGAUACCCUGGUAGUCCGCGCUGUAAACGAUGAAUGCUCGUCAUUGGCGAUACACAGUCAGUGACUGAGGGAAACCAUUAAGCAUUCCACCUGGGGAGUACGCCGGCAACGGUGAAACUCAAAGGAAUUGACGGGGGCCCGCACAAGCGGAGGAACAUGUGGUUUAAUUCGAUGAUACGCGAGGAACCUUACCCGGGCUUGAACUGCGCAGGAAUGAUACAGAGAUGUUGAAGCCCUUCGGGGCCUGCGUGGAGGUGCUGCAUGGUUGUCGUCAGCUCGUGCCGUGAGGUGUCGGCUUAAGUGCCAUAACGAGCGCAACCCUUGUCUUCAGUUGCCAUCUCUAAGCUGGGCACUCUGGAGAGACUGCCAUCGCAAGAUGUGAGGAAGGUGGGGAUGACGUCAAAUCAGCACGGCCCUUACGUCCGGGGCUACACACGUGUUACAAUGGGGGGCACAGAGAGUUGCUGGCGGGUGACCGUUGGCGGAUCUACAAAUCCCCUCUCAGUUCGGACUGGAGUCUGCAACCCGACUCCACGAAGCUGGAUUCGCUAGUAAUCGCGCAUCAGCCAUGGCGCGGUGAAUACGUUCCCGGGCCUUGCACACACCGCCCGUCA
rnacentral:rRNA from 1 species